rnacentral:rRNA from 1 species
GAUGAACGCUGGCGGCGUGCCUAAUACAUGCAAGUCGAGCGAAUGGAUUAAGAGCUUGCACUUAUGAAGUUAGCGGCGGACGGGUGAGUAACACGUGGGUAACCUGCCCAUAAGACUGGGAUAACUCCGGGAAACCGGGGCUAAUACCGGAUAACAUUUUGAACCGCAUGGUUCGAAAUUGAAAGGCGGCUUCGGCUGUCACUUAGGGAUGGACCCGCGUCGCAUUAGCUAGUGGGUGAGGUAACGGCUCACCAAGGCAACGAUGCGUAGCCGACCUGAGAGGGUGAUCGGCCACACUGGGACUGAGACACGGCCCAGACUCCUACGGGAGGCAGCAGUAGGGAAUCUUCCGCAAUGGACGAAAGUCUGACGGAGCAACGCCGCGUGAGUGAUGAAGGCUUUCGGGUCGUAAAACUCUGUUGUUAGGGAAGAACAAGUGCUAGUUGAAUAAGCUGGCACCUUGACGGUACCUAACCAGAAAGCCACGGCUAACUACGUGCCAGCCGCCGCGGUAA